GAUGAACGCUGGCGGCGUGCCUAAUACAUGCAAGUCGAGCGAACGGACGAGAAGUUUGCUUCUCUGUUGUUAGCGGCGGACGGGUGAGUAACACGUGGAUAACCCACCCAUAAGACUGGGAUAACUUCGGGCAAACGGUGCUAAUACCGGUUGAUAUUUUGAACCGCAUGGUUCAAAAGUGAAAGAUGGUCUUGCUGUCACAUAUAGACGUAUCCGUGCUGCAUUAGCUAGUUGGUAAGGUAACGGCUUACCAAGGCAACGAUGCAUAGCCGACCUGAGAGGAUGAUCAGCCACACUGGAACUGAGACCCGGUCCAGGCUCCUACGGGAGGCGGCAUUACGGAAUCUUCCGCAAUGGGCGGAGACCUGACGAAGCAGCGCCACGUGAGUGAUGAAGGUCUUCGGAUCGUAAAACUCUGUUAUUAGGAAAGUACAUAUGUGUAAGUAACGAUGCACAUCUUGACGGUACCUAAUCAGAAAGCCACGGCUAAAUACGUG
rnacentral:rRNA from 1 species